GUCUGGUAGCAUCUCUGACUGCUGUUGACCUUGUUUUUGGAGUAAAACACGGUGGAAGCUGAAUUAGUGAGGAUGACUCCUGCUCCUGUCAUCUCUAAACUCCUCACACAUCUUUACCUGCACAUGAGGAAAAUCACUCCUGUAGAAUGCAGAUGUUCAGAGGGAGAUGAUGCCACAUCUGGUCCAGCUGAUGGAAGGUCUUGAAGUUCUCUGACUGGCCUCAACUGAAGAUGGUCGUCUCACUGGAUUUAAGGUUCAGAUGCUCAGUAACAAACUCCACCAAUGUGCCAACAGGGAAGCUUUAGGUUUAUUAAAUGUUGCUAUGAAGGUAUCGCUGUUUUUCUUUGUGAAUGCAAUGUGCUCCAACUGAAACUUGAAUUAGAACUUAGAAGUAAAUCCUUCCAUCUGAAAGGAUUUAGUUGCAUUAAUAACCUCAUAACAUUCUAAUUUUUAUUUCAGUCUUGGUUGGAAAUAGAAUCUCUGUAUUGAUUCAGGUAAAAACUGAACUUCACAGCAUGUUGAAGCAAAACAACCAGAUGAAAACUGUGAUGGUGUUGGAUUGUCAGACUGUAAUGUUGCAGCUCAAAGCAGCUUUUCUAUCUCAGUUCAUUCUGACAUUCAGCUAUAAAUCAACACAGCAGAUGGUGAUCCAUGCUGUGGAAGUCUCACAUCUCCUGAUUUAAUGGAGCUGCUUUGCACUUUUUACACUGUUUAUUCACCAACACUUUAUUUAAUAAAAGUCCCAUCUAGUUUUUAUGAGGAAUGUGAUGUUUUAAUUUCUCUGUGAAUAACUGCAGUCUAAUGCAACAGCUGGAGUUGUAACAUCUGUCCUGAUAUUGAUCAUGAAGUAUUGAUCAGAAUACUUAUGGUUAACAGUCAUCCCUGAAGUUUUACAUUAAAAUCUUUACUUGUGCUGUGAACUUUGGUAAGAAGCAGAAACUUUUACGUUGCCAUGGAUACACGAGUGUUAAAUUCUGUCCAUGUUUCCAUUUUGGGAAAUUCAGUCCAGUUCCAGAAUGUGGAGGAAUUUAGUCUCACAAUCACAGACAACAAAUAUUAUCUGAAAGUCAGGUUGUUGUUGUUUAUCAGCACAAUACAAAAAGAUUAAUGUCAGAAAUAUUCCAGUUAAGACUCUAGAAUAUCAUGAUUUAUGUAAAUUUACCUCAAUGAUAUGAAUGUUCAGGUUAAGAUUGUACAGUGAUAUUUAUUAUGCAAGUUUAGCUGAUUAAAGUUUAUGACUCUGCACUAAAAUAUUAUUUAAAUUGACAUCAUUAUUAUAAUAUUUAGGGUCAGACCCUACAGUAUUGAGAUUAAGAAAUCAAAUAUUCUAUAAAAUGUAAAUACACUGAACUCAUUUGGAUGUAUUUAAGUGAGACUCUACAAUAUUAUUUGACACAAAUCUAUCUAAAUCAAAAUUUUAAUAAUUUUCAUGCCAAACAUUUACUGGACUAAUUUAAAUAUUAAAAUCACUCCUUUCUAAUCCUCUGCUGUACGUUCAAACCUGAGGCCUUAAAUAGAAACACACAAGUAUCUGAUUGAAGGAACUUCUGCAGAGUCCUGGUUCCAGAACAUGAUGAUAGAAUUAUAGUCAAACUUUAACAAAAGCUGCCUGAGAGUUUACAGGUUUUUAUGUUGGAUUUCUUCAAUAAUUUAAUGAACGUUAUCAGCAAUAAUCAAGUGUUCAUUUGAUGAACUUGAUUUCCUAAAACAUCCAGAAUUGGAGCUCAUAUCUUUGGCAGCUGUAAAGUUUCUGCUCCUUCAAAGUUCACAACACAAUGAAUGAAUUCCUAAAACACUCUCAAUGCUGGAGAGCGUUUGUGAUGCUGAAGCAGUGAUCAGUUUUUCUAUUUCUUCUCUGGAGAUGCACAAUGAGGGACGUCUGCAGAGACUGAGAAAGAGUCUCACCACAUCCUGACAUGAGGAAAAAGACUUUAUUGAAGACUACAAUGAGAAAAACUAUCAGACAGCAGACGGCUGCAUUCAAGGUGAGCUCUGAACAUUUGAUCUGGAACAGGAAUUCAAUAACGGCAGCAUGAGCUUCAUUUCAGUCUGUAGCUGCUGAAUUCAUGGAUGAAUCAUCUGGCACUAGAGAAGAAGACCAUCAAACAUCCAUGUCAGCUGAUGGAGGUCCAAGAGUCUCACCAAACAAACAACCUACAGAGUGAAGACCUCAAAUCUGAUUGGACGGCCUCCUAUUCAGCCACUUGUGUGAACAAAUGCCUCUAAGCUGAUUUGUUUUCUAAAAUAAAUCUAGUUUGAGUCCUAA